rnacentral:rRNA from 1 species
AGUGAACGCUGGCGGUAGGCCUAACACAUGCAAGUCGAACGGCAGCACAGUAAGAGCUUGCUCUUACGGGUGGCGAGUGGCGGACGGGUGAGGAAUACAUCGGAAUCUACUUUUUCGUGGGGGAUAACGUAGGGAAACUUACGCUAAUACCGCAUACGACCUACGGGUGAAAGCAGGGGAUCUUCGGACCUUGCGCGAUUGAAUGAGCCGAUGUCGGAUUAGCUAGUUGGCGGGGUAAAGUCCCACCAAGGCGACGAUCCGUAGCUGGUCUGAGAGGAUGAUCAGCCAAAUUGGACCUGGGACACGGUCCAGACUCCUACGGGAGGAAGCAGUGGGGAAUAUUGGAAAAUGGGCGCAAGCCUGAUCCAGACAUACCGCGUGGGUGAAGAAGGCCUUCGGGUUGUAAAGCCCUUUUGUUGGGAAAGAAAAGCAGCAGGUUAAUAACGCGCUGUUCUGACGGUACCCAAAGAAUAAGCACCGGCUAACUUCGU